rnacentral:rRNA from 1 species
CGAAAGCCUGACGGAGCAAUACCGCGUGAGGGAUGACGGCCUAUGGGUUGUAAACCUCUUUUUUCAGGGAGGAAUCAAUGACGUGUACCUGAAGAAUAAGCAUCGGCUAACUCCGUGCCAGCAGCCGCGGUAAGACGGAGGAUGCAAGCGUUAUCCGGAAUUACUGGGCGUAAAGCGUCCGUAGGCGGCUAAUCAAGUCUGCUGUCAAAGCCCACAGCUCAACUGUGGAGAGGCAGUGGAAACUGAAUAGCUAGAGUGUGGUAGGGGCAGAGGGAAUUCCUGGUGUAGCGGUGAAAUGCGUAGAUAUCAGGAAGAACACCAGUGGCGAAGGCGCUCUGCUGGGCCAUAACUGACGCUGAUGGACGAAAGCUAGGGGAGCG